rnacentral:rRNA from 1 species
ACGUAGGGGGCGAGCGUUGUCCGGAAUCACUGGGCGUAAAGCGCACGUAGGCGGCCUGUCAAGUCAGCCGUGAAAUGCAUAGGCUCAACCUGGGAAUGGCGCUUGAUACUGGUGGGCUGGAGGCUGGGAAAGGAGAGCGGAAUUCCCGGUGGAGCGGUGAAAUGCGUAGAUAUCGGGAGGAACACCAGAGGCGUAGGCGGGUUUCUGGGCUAGUACUGACGCUGAGGCGCGAAAGCUAGGGGAGCAAACGG